GUUCUUCUGAAGUGUCCAAAACUGGGACGAAACAGCUGUCUAGUAC
rnacentral:hammerhead_ribozyme from 1 species